UCCAGGGUUUCGCAAGCUAAUUUCCGUUCUAUUUUUUCAGCUUCGAGGUUCUCCAGUUGAUUUUGUGUCGGAGCUGUUUUGUAGGUGAUGACUCCAAGUCAACCUAAUACUGGCCUUUUUGUGGGCUUAAACGGGGGACAUGUUGUUACCAAGAAGGAAUUGGCUCCCCGCCCUUCAAAUCGAAAGGG